AGAUCCCCCUGUGUACUGUAUGACUGGGGGAUUAGCUCAGCUGGGAGAGCACCUGCUUUGCAAGCAGGGGGUCGUCGGUUCGAUCCCGUCAUCCUCCACCAAUUCCCAAUGCACAGUGUUCUGCAGAACGCAGAAGACUUCGCAUUGGCAAUUGAGCCAGUCAGUGAAGAUAUGCGGUUAUAGCAAUCGCGAUAUCGGCUGUCGUUCUUUAACAAUCAGGAAGAAGUAGUAAAGAGAUUCGCGAAAGCGUGCUUAGAGAUGGGCGCGCGAGUAGGUGAAUCAGGGUUGUGAUUGUAUCAAUGUAUUUUUAAGGGUUGUCGAAAGACAGCCUUGGAAUACGGCACAACGCUAAAACUCAACCUGUAGCGAGUGGGUCUGACGUGGCAACACGAAGAGACGCACCCGUUAUAGGGUCAAGCGAACAAGUGCAUGUGGUGGAUGCCUUGGCGAUCACAGGCGAUGAAGGACGCGGUAGCCUGCGAAAAGCUUCGGGGAGCUGGCAAACGAGCAAUGAU
rnacentral:misc_RNA from 1 species